UACGAAGGGGGCUAGUGUUGCUCGGAUUGACUGGGCGUAAAGGGCGCGUAGGCGGUUCGUACAGUCAGACGUGAAAUUCCUGGGCUCAACCUGGGGGCUGCGUUUGAUACGUGCGGACUUGAGUGCGGAAGAGGGUCGUGGAAUUCCCAGUGUAGAGGUGGAAUUCGUAGAUAUUGGGAAGAACACCGGUGGCGAAGGCGGCGACCUGGUCCGAUACUGACGCUGAGGCGCGAAAGCGUGGGGAGCAAACAGG
rnacentral:rRNA from 1 species